rnacentral:RNase_P_RNA from 1 species
CAGCCGGACCGGACGGUCGCUCUCCGCAAGGAGGGAGGAAAGUCCGAACUCCGCAGGGCAGUGUGCCGGAUAACGUCCGGGAGGCCGGGUUCAAGUCCGGUCGACGGAAAGUGCCACAGAAAAUAUACCGCCCCGUCGUCGUUGUGAGCCUGGAGCGCGCGGGUUUCAAGUCGGGCUUAGAACGACGACGGGGUAAGGGUGAAAAGGUGCGGUAAGAGCGCACCGCCGCUGCAGUAAUGCAGCGGGCAGGGCAAACCCCACACGGAGCAAGACCAAAUAGGGAGGGAGUUCCGGCUUCGGCUGGAACACGUGCCGGCUCGGUGCGUCACAACCUCCGGGUAGGUCGCUAGAGCUGCGCAGCAAUGCGCGGCCCAGAGGAAUGACCGUCCCGCCGCAAGGCGGACAAAAUUCGGCUUACAGGUCCGGCUGCCAU